rnacentral:rRNA from 1 species
UACGGAGGGUGCGAGCGUUGUCCGGAAUCACUGGGCGUAAAGGGCGCGUAGGCGGCUCGGUAAGCGUGUGGUGAAAGCCUGGGGCUCAACCCCGGGUCGGCCAUGCGAGCUGUCGAGCUGGAGCACUGUAGAGGCAGGCGGAAUUCCGGGUGUAGCGGUGGAAUGCGUAGAGAUCCGGAAGAACACCGGUGGCGAAGGCGGCCUGCUGGGCAGUAGCUGACGCUGAGGCGCGACAGCGUGGGGAGCAAACAGG